GUCCCUUCGGGGACAUCCGACAAAAUUGGAACGAUACAAAGAAGAUUAGCAUGACCCAUGUGCAAGGAUGACACACACGAAUCUUUUAUACAAAGCAGUAGUAU